GAUGAACGCUGGCGGCGUGCCUAACACAUGCAAGUCGAGCGAACAGACUAGGCGCUUGCUCUUCUCUCGUUAGCUGCGGACGGGUGAGUAACACGUGGCUUACCCACCUAUAAGACUGGGAUAACUUCGAGAAACCGGAGCUAAUACCUGAUAAUAUAUUCAACCGCAUGGUUCAAUAGUGAAAGCCCGUUUUCCUGUCCCUUAUCGAUGGAUCCGCGUCGCAUUAGCUAGUUGGUAAGGUAACGGCUUACCAAGGCAACGAUGCGUAGCCGACCUGAGAGGGGGAUAGGCCACACGGGAAGGGAGACACGGUCCAGACCACUGCGGGACGCAGCAGUAAGGAAUCGGCAGCAGAGGGCGAAAGUCUGACAGAGUAACGGCGAGUGAGGGAUGAAGGUCUCCGGAUCGUAAAACACUGUUAGGAGGGAAGAACAUAUGUGUAAGUGAAUAUGCACGUGUUGACGGUACCUAGGCAAAAAGCACCGGAUAACUACGUG
rnacentral:rRNA from 1 species